CCCUAUUAUUCUUGGUGUAAAAAUUGGCAUGGGUAGUAUUAGUUAUUUUCUUAAAACUCAAAGGAUUUGGCGGUAUCUUAAUCCUCUCAGAGGAGCUUGUCCUGUGAUCGAUGGUCCACGUUGUUGGUUUCUUUUUUUUGCUAAGCAGUUUGUAUAUCGCCGUUGUUCAGAAGAUUUUUAAAAAAUGGGUAAUUUUCUAUAAUUUUUAUUAGAAUAUAAGGCAGGUCAAGGUGCAGUUUAUGAAAAAGAGUGAGAUGGGCUACAAUAUAAUUUAUAUAAAACGGACUAUUUGUUUGAAUGUUAAUAGGAAGGUGGAUUUGAAUGUAAUUUUUAUGGGUAGGAGUGAAUAUGGCUCUAGGAUAUGCACAUAUC
rnacentral:rRNA from 1 species